GGGAUUUUGGUCUAGUGGUAUGAUUCUCGCUUAGGGUGCGAGAGGUCGUGGGUUCAAUUCCCGCAACUCCCC
rnacentral:tRNA from 1 species